UACGUAGGGGGGCAAGCGUUGUCCGGAUUUAUUGGGCGUAAAGAGCGUGUAGGCGGUUUGGUAGGUCCGCUGUGAAAACUCGAGGUUCAACCUCGAGACGCCGGUGGAAACCAUCAGACUAGAGUCCGGAAGAGGAGAGUGGAAUUCCUGGUGUAGCGGUGAAAUGCGCAGAUAUCAGGAAGAACACCCGUGGCUAAGGCGGCUCUCUAGUACGGUACUGACGCUGAGACGCGAAAGCGUGGGGAGCGAACAGG
rnacentral:rRNA from 1 species